CACACCAACCCGAUAACUGGCCCUUGGACAGUUUGGCGAGGUCGGUGACUCAAGUCUGUUUGGUGUGCUCCAAGCCAUCGGUUUUAAUUUGGGGACGAUUUGACUUGCUGAAUCGGCCAGUGGGCAGUCGGACCAAUCAGUGACCAAUCUGAUUGGUGAAGUGCUAGCCCUUGACUAGCGAAUCAGUGCACUUAUGUUAAAACACUUACUGGAAAUGACGAGUGGGAUGAGCGUGACACACGCCUCUUAAAAUUUGAAAAAAAUCUUUGAAACUGACCUUUCUUGAUCCAAAAAACAGAAGGAGCAACUGUAUGGCUAUUUUGCGCUGGAAAUGUUUUCGGAAACACGUUUUGGUGAACAAUUUUUGUAAAAUAUGACAUCGUAUUCGAACGAGCCACUGUUAUGGUCGGCUUUGAAAUUCGGGAGAAGCCCGACCAACGUGACACGUUUGUCAUUUUUGGUUUUCAUUGUUUGGGCGACGAUACAGAUUAGCGCCGCCUGCUGUCAUGGAGACGUAUUAUGUCUUGCCCACGCACAGAACGUACGCUCAAGUAGGCGUCGCUUCGGUGUGUUCCAAGGCACUUUUUAGGACCAAUGGGAGCCAAAUGAUCAGCACGACGGCCUUUUCUGCCGACGCUCGGCCGUCCGGUUGGUGUGUCUGAGCACGGGUAUGAG